UACAGAGGGUGCGAGCGUUAAUCGGAAUUACUGGGCGUAAAGCGUGCGCAGGUGGUUGUGUAAGCUUGAUGUGAAAUCCCCGGGCUCAACCUGGGAAUGGCAUUGAGGACUGCACGGCUAGAGUGUGGCAGAGGGGGGUGGAAUUCCGCGUGUAGCAGUGAAAUGCGUAGAGAUGCGGAGGAACACCGAUGGCGAAGGCAGCCCCCUGGGCUAACACUGACACUCAUGCACGAAAGCGUGGGGAGCAAACAGG
rnacentral:rRNA from 1 species